UUUACAGUGGCUGCCCACGCCGCGGAGACGUCCCGAAGAGUCACAAGUUAGUUUGCUUUGGGGGAUUUCUCAGCUCCACACUAGAGUAAAGCGUCCCCUCCACACCCACUCAGCCUCAUGACAAACCUUAUACUGUGCAGCUGCUGCUGGAAGCCAUAGUUUGGGCCAACAAAAGAGCGAACAGCCUUGACAGCGGACAGACAAUCUUCCCAGCUGUGGUGUGUGACAGUCAUCAGGUCUACAGCAACAACAACUUCAAUGACUGCAGGGCUCAAAGUCACCCUCAGAGUUAGUCUCCCCAUCCAGGCCAAUAACCCCAACAUUUUGCCAGAAUAUUCAUAUCUACUCUACUCUGGAUCAGUUUACAGUCUGAGUCUCCUGGUCAUGGUGGAUUGGCCUUACAGACACGAAGGAUCAGCCUGCAUUCAAGCAAGCAAUGUGUCACACAUUUGUCUACUAUGUUGUCAGAAGGUUAAUUGAUCAUCCUGCAUUAAAAAUUUCCCCCACUUUUCCUUUGUCUUUCUCCCCAUUUUAGCAUGGCAAAUUCCCUUAUUGUACAGUCUUUGUCUCCGCAGAUUUCGCUGUUGAGCUCUCAAUGGUAUAGAGAGCAAUGUGCUUC